rnacentral:rRNA from 1 species
GCCUGGUCUUCAUUGACCAAGCUCAUUGCUGCCGGAGACUCCAUGUCCAUUGACUCCUAGUCCUCGUGGCUAGGGUUUUCUGGACAAUUACCAUGAGCAAAUCAGAGUGUUUAAAGCAGGCUUUUAAGCUUGAAUGUGUUAGCAUGGAAUAAUGAAAUAUGACUUUAGUCCUAUUUUCGUUGGUUUAGGUACUUCAGUAAUGAUGAAUAGAAACGGUUAGGGGCAUUUGUAUUUGGUCGCUAGAGGUGAAAUUCUUGGAUUGACCGAAGACAAACUACUGCGAAAGCAUUUGACCCGGGACGUUUUCAUUGAUCAAGGUCUAAAGUUAAGGGAUCGAAGACGAUUAGAUACCGUCGUAGUCUUAACCACAAACUAUGCCGACUAGAGAUUGGGCGUGUUUAUUAUGACUCGCUCAGCAUCUUAGCGAAAGUAAAGUUUUUGGGUUCUGGGGGGAGUAUGGGACGCAAGGCUGAAACUUAAAGGAAUUGACGGAAGGGGCACCA